AAAAUGGCCCUUUUCAGGGCCAAUUCACAUGAAAGAGUAUUCUUUA
rfam:Culex pipiens quinquefasciatus supercont3.924 genomic scaffold, whole genome shotgun sequence.